UCGGGAGAAGGAGCGCCCCGGUAGGGUGAAGCGCCUGCGCGUGGAGCCUGAGGGGGCCGCAGUGAAUUGAUCCAAGCGACUGUUUACCAAAAACACAGGUCUCUGCAAAGUCGUAAGACGACGUAUAGGGGCUGACUCCUGCCCGGUGCCGGAAGGUUACGUGGAGGUGUUAGGCGCAAGCCAAAGCACUGAAACUAAGCCCCGGUAAACGGCGGCGGUAACAAUAACCGUCCUAAGGUAGCGAAAUUCCUUGUCGGGUAAGUUCCGACCUGCACGAAUGGAGUAACGACUUGGAUGCUGUCUCAACGAGGGGCUCGGUGAAAUUGCAGUCUCGGUGAAGAUGCCGAGUACCCGCGGCUAGACGGAAAGACCCCGUGAACCUUUACUACAACUUGGUAUUGGAGUUCGGUCCAUUUCGCUCAGGAUAGGUGGGAGACUUUGAAGCGCAGACUGCGGUUUGCGUGGAGUCAACCUUGAGAUACCACCCUUGAUGUAUUGGACUUCUAACAGCGUGCCUUGAAUCAGGGCGCUGAACAGUGCCAGGCGGGUAGUUUGACUGGGGCGGUCGCCUCCCAAAAUGUAACGGAGGCGCGCAAAGGUUCCCUCAGUACGGUUGGAAACCGUGCGUAGAGUGUAAAAGCAGCAAGGGAGCUUGACUGCGAGACCGACAGGUCGAGCAGGUGCGAAAGCAGGCUUUAGUGAUCCGGCGGUAGCAAGUGGAAGUGCCGUCGCUCAACGGAUAAAAGGUACUCCGGGGAUAACAGGCUUAUCGAGUCCAAGAGUCCACAUCGACGACUCGGUUUGGCACCUCGAUGUCGGCUCGUCGCAUCCUGGGGCUGGAGUAGGUCCCAAGGGUUGGGCUGUUCGCCCAUUAAAGCGGUACGCGAGCUGGGUUCAGAACGUCGUGAGACAGUUCGGUCCCUAUCUGCCGUGGGCGUUGGAGAGUUGAGAGGAUUCGCCCCUAGUACGAGAGGACCGGGGUGAACGGACCUCUGGUGUAUCUGUUGUCGUGCCAACGGCAUUGCAGAUUAGCUACGUCCGGAUCGGAUAACCGCUGAAGGCAUCUAAGCGGGAAGCCGGCCUCGAGAUGAGCUCUCCCACCACCUUGAGUGGGUAAGACCCCUGGUAGACCACCAGGUUGAUAGGCCAGAUCUGGAAGCACGGUAACGUGCGUAGGAGACUGGUACUAAUGGGUCGAGGGCUUGACGGC
rnacentral:rRNA from 1 species